rnacentral:rRNA from 1 species
AACGUAGGAGACAAACGUUAUCCGGAGUUACUGGGCGUAAAGGGCGUGUAGGCGGUUUGUUAAGUCUGGCGUGAAAGCUCUCGGCUAAACCGGGAGAGGUCGUUGGAUACUGGCAAGCUAGAGGAUGGUAGAGGCAUGUGGAAUUCCGGGUGUAGCGGUGGAAUGCGCAGAUAUCAGGAGGAACACCGAUGGCGAAGGCAGCUCGCUGGGACGGUACUGACGCUGAGGCGCGAAAGCGUGGGGAGCAAACAGG